UACGUAGGGUGCAAGCGUUAAUCGGAAUUACUGGGCGUAAAGCGUGCGCAGGCGGUUGUGCAAGACCGAUGUGAAAUCCCCGGGCUUAACCUGGGAACUGCAUUUGUGACUGCAUCGCUGGAGUGCGGCAGAGGGGGAUGGAAUUCCGCGUGUAGCAGUGAAAUGCGUAGAUAUGCGGAGGAACACCGAUGGCGAAGGCAAUCCCCUGGGCCUGCACUGACGCUGAGGAGCGAAAGCGUGGGGAGCGAACAGG
rnacentral:rRNA from 1 species